rnacentral:rRNA from 1 species
AGGUCGAUCUGCUCCAUGAAAUUAAUUUAAAUAGCUGCAGUAUAUUGACUGUACAAAGGUAGCAUAAUAAAUUGUCUUUUAAUUGAAGAAUUGAAUGAAUGAAUUGAUGAAAUAACAACUGUCUCUAUAUUAUUUAAUGAAUUUAAAUUUUUAGUUAAAAUUCUGAAAUUUAAUUAUGGGACGAUAAGACCCUAUAGAAUUUUAUUUAAUAUAAUUAUUUAUUUAAAUUAUUUGUGAAUAUAUAAUUAAUUUAAAUUUGAUUGGGAGGAUUGGUAAAUAAAAAUAACUUUAUCUAAAAAUUAAUUUUGAUGAAAAGAUUUUUUUUUGACUUAUAAUUUAUGAUUAAAAGAAUAAAUUACCUUAGGGAUAACAGCGUAAUAUCUUUUGAUAGACCACAUUGAUAAAGAUGUUUGCGACCUCGAUGUUGAAUUAAGAGAAAAGUUAAACGCAGGAGUUUAAAAUUUUAAGUCUG